UGUGUCUCAAAAUCCCAGAGCAGAACUAAGUGCUAAACACCCACUUUUAUGGAGAAGAGGAUGGAUGGAGGAGAUGAUGGGAGUUCUGGGUUUCUCUCUGCCACCAGCCUCAGUCAUCCACACAGCCAGAGGAGAGGCGAAACGGAUCAGAGGACCAAUACGCGGCGUGAUCGCCACGACCACCUCGAGGACACGCUACUGCCCAAUCACCACUGGGCCCAACGGGUUGGUAUGCCAACGAAGACCGUACGGCUUUGUGUUGCUGUUUGUGUCUGGUCGUCCGAUUCUACAACAGAGCUUGAUGCAAUUUAAAAUCCAAUUUGAUACAUUCAUAUGUACAAGAUUGGCAUAAACCCCUGUUAUAUUCUCAUUACCCCGGUUGUUGCUUUUGGGAUAGGAAUGAAAUUACAUCAACUACCUUGAGAUUGUAUUGCUUGUGUUUUGAUUAUCUACAUUAAAUAAGUGUGAAAGUAAAAACAGCCUGUGUAAAUUAAACAUGCUGAUGUCAAAAUAAAAGAUGUUGUAUGCGUCCCAAAUGGCAUCCUACUUCCUAUAUAGUGCACUACCUUUGACCAGAGCCCUAUUGGGAAUAGGUGCCAUUUGGGACGCUGCUAUUGAGUCAUACAGCCUGUAUUGAUCAGGGCAGUCGCAUUCGACCAGAUUACAUUUGCCAUUUGAUUCCUUUUCAAUUAUCUCUGCUUUUCAUCACUCUCUCUCUGUG